UAGCUCAAUUGGUAGAGUACUUGCCUCCUAUGCACAAGGCCCUGGGUUCGAUCCCCAG
rnacentral:tRNA from 1 species